rnacentral:RNase_P_RNA from 1 species
CGAAAGUGAGGAAAGUCCGGACACCGCAAGGCAGAGUGCCGGCUAACUACCGGUUAAGGCGACUUAAAGGAAAGUGCAACAGAAAUAAACCGCCCGCGCAAGCGGGUAAGGAUGGAAAGGCGAGGUAAGAGCUCACCGAUCCCGCGGCGACGCGGGAUGCCCUGUAAACCCCACUCGGUGCAAGAGAAAACGACAUAUGCGGCAGCCUGUCGCGUCGGAAAAUCGCUUGAGCGCCGCGGUAACGCGGCGCCUGGAUAGAUGGUCAUCGUAAACAGAAUCCGGCUUACGGAUCGUUU